UACGGAGGGUGCAAGCGUUGUCCGGAUUUAUUGGGUUUAAAGGGCGCGUAGGCGGCCUUCUAAGUCGAACGUGAAAUCCCCGGGCUCAACCCGGGAACUGCGUCCGAUACUGGAAGGCUUGAAUCCGGGAGAGGGAUGCGGAAUUCCAGGUGUAGCGGUGAAAUGCGUAGAUAUCUGGAGGAACACCGGUGGCGAAGGCGGCAUCCUGGACCGGUAUUGACGCUGAGGCGCGAAAGCCAGGGGAGCAAACGGG
rnacentral:rRNA from 1 species